rnacentral:rRNA from 1 species
UGGGGAAUUUUGCACAAUGGGGGAAACCCUGAUGCAGCGAGGCCGCGUGAUUUAGAAGGCCUUCGGGUUGUAAAAAUCUUUUCUAUGGGAAGAAAAUGACAGUACCAUAGGAAUAAGGACCGGCAAAUUACGUGCCAGCAGCCGCGGUAAUACGUAAGGUCCGAGCGUUGUCCGGAAUCAUUGGGCGUAAAGGGUACGUAGGCGGGUAAGCAAGUUAGAAGUGAAAUCCUAUAGCUCAACUAUAGUAAGCUUUUAAAACUGCUCAUCUUGAGGUAUGGAAGGGAAAGUGGAAUUCCUAGUGUAGCGGUGAAAUGCGCAGAUAUUAGGAGGAAUACCGGUGGCGAAGGCGACUUUCUGGCCAUAACCUGACGCUGAGGUACGAAAGCGUGGGUAGCAAACAGG